rnacentral:tRNA from 1 species
GCGUAUCGUGAGGUGCCAUCAUGUGCCAGAUGUCGCCCUUUCACGGCGAAAACACGGGUUCGAUUCCCGUAGGGCGCGCCA